rnacentral:rRNA from 1 species
CUUUUCCUACGGGGGGCAGCAGUGAGGAAUAUUGGUCAAUGGGCGGAAGCCUGAACCAGCCACGUCGCGUGAGGGAAUAAGGCCCUACGGGUCGUAACCCUCUUUUGCCGGGGAGCAAGGGCCGGGACGAGUCCCGGUCCGGAGAGUACCCGGAGAAAAAGCAUCGGCUAACUCCGUGCCAGCAGCCGCGGUAAUACGGAGGAUGCGAGCGUUAUCCGGAUUUAUUGGGUUUAAAGGGUGCGUAGGCGGGCUUUUAAGUCAGCGGGAAAAAUUCGGGGCUCAACCCCGUCCGGCCGUUGCAACUG